CUCGCCUACAGGAUUUUGCACACGCAUAGUUCUUCAAACAGGUUGGCUGGCUUUGCCUUGCAGAAGAAGAGAGCUGGAAUGUCCCUUGCUCUCACUGAGCCCACUUCUACACAUAGACACACACAACUUCCGGCUGAUCUUGGAAGGAAAAAGCACAUGAAGAGAGAAAUAAGAGAGUGGUACUAUUUAAGUUGUCUGGACCAAACCCGUCCAGAGGAUCCACAUCUCAGAUUUCAUCUUCAUGAAAUAUUUAAGCACCACAUGCCUGAGCAGGGAGAAUCUUCAGGACUGUGGAGACAAGACGCCCUGUGGAGAAGAAAAGCCGGACCAACCAGGGUGCCCAGAGGGCAGGCUUUGCCCUGGUUCACCACCUGCUCCCUGUCCCCCUGGAGCUUUCCACUCUGGAGCCGGUCCCCACAACACCCCCUUCUGCCACCUCUGCCCUCGGGGAUUCUUCAACCCCUGGCCUGGCCAGAAUGCCUGUUUCCCAUGUGGCUCGGAGGCCACCCAACCGGAGGAGGGCAAGGACACAUGCAUCUGCCCAGGGCCUGGGCGAGUGUUCCAGCCCAGCGACGGGCAGUGCCCCUGCCUCCCUGGCUACCAAGAUGUUGGAGAGCCAAGGGGCUGUGUCCAGCAGGAACACAAGAGCUGCAAGGACGGGGCCACCCGGAAUCAGGAGGGCCUGUGUUUGACAAAAGAUCAAUGGAAAGACCACUGUGCCCAUGAGGUGUGUGUUACGCCGGGAGAUGUCCAUGGCUAUGACCCAGGCCUGGGGCUCUGUCUGUGCUGGGGACAACACUCAAGUGGAAUGUGUGGCCCCCUGUGCCCAGAGACACAGAGACACAUCCUGCAGCUCAGCUGCUCCGAGAGCAUCCCGCAGAUUUCCGUCACUGAAGGCACCAGAAGGCAGGAAUUUUCCCUUCUGGAUAGGCCUUCCUCACCACGUGCUGUGGGCCAUCCCUGCAACUUGGACCAAGGGCAGAAGCCUGUCCCUCUGUAUGUGGUCAGGAUGGACGGGACUGGCUUCCUGGGCCUGACCAGACCAGGUCAUGAACUACUGCACUCUCUUGGCCUGCCCCUCAGGGAUCCAGGGCUCCCAGGCCAGGAAGCAGGAAAGUCAAGGGAAGGACGUCUGAGCUCUCCUUGGUUGCUGAGCCUCAACUCCACACGCCAUGGGGAUCUGUCUCCCCCAGAGCCAGGCAUCCAAAACCCUACAGUCUGCCUCCAGACCAAUGAUACACUGGCCUUCCUGGUGACCCGUGAGCAUUACCCCGAGUAUGACCUGGGCCACUUCUAUAACACCGUAGAGGAAUUCGACUGGGGGCGCUUCCGAGCCCUGGCUGAGGAGUCCCAGCUCCAAGAUCAAAGCCCCUACCUCUUUCUGCAGCAGUUCCAGCAGCCUGGGAUCUACGUCUUUCGUCUGAGCAGCAAUCGGCAUCGGAAGAUGUACAUCCGCACCCUCCCACCAGGGGGCCAGUGCUUUGGGGAAGGGCCCUUUGCCUCCACAACUCCCAGGUAUCUGAUCCAAACUGGCAUCGCCAAGAUCCCCAGACCCCCGAAGAGGUCUGGCUGGCCCGGAGUCCUCGGGGGGACUGUCCUGCUCCUGGGACUAUGCCUGCUUCUGUUGAUUCAGUAUCAGAGCCUGAGCUGGGCCCGCAAGGCCGCUCCUCACCCCACCUUCCGGAAGCAUCAGCAAGGAUACAACCUGGCUGCCUACACUUUCCCAAGAACUGGGAUGACAUCAGUGAGGAGAGGCCGGUCACACCCAGACCCUGAGACCCCCGGAGUUGAGGGAGGUCACGAGGGGAGCUGGGAGCCCGAGGAGCAGGUGGACCUGGAGUGGUUUGACACGGAAACCUUCUUUGGGAUCCUGCUCAGGCAGUCUCUGUCAGUGACAACCAAACUCAGCCAGACCAAGGAGGAGCUCAAACUCCUCUGCCUCAAACUUGCGAGCGAAGCCCGUUCUGUCCGGCAGCUGUGGGGUGCUCAGCAGCGCAUCCCAGCCUGCACUGACCAGCUUUUGAGGAGCACCCAAGGAGAGUGGCAACAGGCUGCUGAGAUGGCUGCCAGGGCUGCGGAGGAGGAGGCCAGGCGGAGGGGGCACCUGGCAGGCGAGUAUGCGGCAAGCCUUCGUCGCCAACUGAAGCUCCUUCGCCAGGACCUCCGUGCAAGGCAGGAGCAGUGGGGUUCCUUCUGCUCAGCACUGAGGACGGCUCAGCGGCUGCUGAAGGCACAGACAGGCUCUAGAUUGGCAAAGUCCUCCCAGGCUAGGCAGAACUCAGCAGGGUGUGUACCUGGUGAAUAUGAGUGUGGCUUCGUGAGAGCUGGUCUAGGGAAGGAACAAGUGUGGCUUUGUGGGGACUUGGAACUGGCCAGAACAAAGUGUCCUUUUCCCACCCCUAAUUGCCUCUCCCACUGA
rnacentral:lncRNA from 1 species